CUUGGACUGUUCCAGGUCCCCACCCCCCCUAUAAAUUACUCCAGACUCUGCUCCUUCCUGUUUGCUGCUUCACCCCAGCUCCCUGCUUGAAGAUGAGAACAGCUACACACCACUUGGAGUGAUCUUUAGUAGGCCCCCAUGCAACCUCCGUGUUAUCCAGGACUGGACUCUCACACUGCCAUAUUCCUCUGCAAUAGCGCGGUAAAGAUCUCCAUCUGCAAGAACAACAUAGGAGUCAUGUUACAGAAUCUGUCUACAUCCUGACAGUUCACUGCUGUUAUUGAUAUUACACAGAAGAAUAUAAACUUAGAAAAAAUAAAACAAAAAGUAAAAAAUAAAUGACUGAGAAGAAUAACAUUUUCUUACCAAA